rnacentral:rRNA from 1 species
UACGGAGGGUGCAAGCAUUGAUCGGAAUUACUGGGCGUAAAGGGUGCGUAGGCGGCAGGACAAGUCGGAUGUGAAAUUCCGGGGCUCAACCCCGGAGCUGCAUUUGAAACUGUCCAGCUAGAGUAUAGUUAGGGUAAACGGAAUUCCACGUGUAGCGGUGAAAUGCGUAGAUAUGUGGAAGAACACCAGUGGUGAAGACGGUUUACUGGGCUAUAACUGACGCUGAGGCACGAGAGCAUGGGGAGCAAACAGG